rnacentral:rRNA from 1 species
ACCAAAUUCUCAGCGAUGGAUAUCUUGGUUCCCAUAACGAUGAAGAACGCAGCGAAGUGCGAUAAGCAAUGCGAAUUGCAGAACCGUGAGUCAUCAGAUUUUUGAACGCAACUGGCGCCGGCUGGCCCUUCAGCCGGCAUGCUUGUUUCAGUGUCUC